GACGAACGCUGGCGGCGUGCUUAACACAUGCAAGUCGAACGGAAAGGCCCUGCUUUUGUGGGGUGCUCGAGUGGCGAACGGGUGAGUAACACGUGAGUAACCUGCCCUUGACUUUGGGAUAACUUCAGGAAACUGGGGCUAAUACAGGAUAGGAGCUCCUGCUGCAUGGUGGGGGUUGGAAAGUUUCGGCGGUUGGGGAUGGACUGGCGGCUUAUCAGCUUGUUGGUGUGGUAGUUGCUUACAAAGGCUUUGACGGGUAGCCGGCCUGGGAGGGUGAACGGCCACAUUGGGACUGAGAGAGGGACCAGACUCCUACGGGAGGCAGUAGUGGGGAAUAUUGCACAACGGGCGGAAGCCUGAGGCAGCAACGCCGCGUGCGGGAUGACGGCCUUCGGGUUGUAAACCGCUUUCGCCUGUGACGAAGCGUGAGUGACGGUAAUGGGUAAAGAAGCACCGGCUAACUACGUG
rnacentral:rRNA from 1 species